GGCUCACACUUCUGAGUACAGAGCAUUGUGGAUUGCUCUGACUAUAACCCCGGCUCCGGGGCGCAUUCAUCUCGGAAAUGACAACCUCUUUCGCCUGCAAGACUUCUCAGUCUGGGUCCAAACCCGAGCCGCGUAAAUAAGGACCGGGACCCAGGAGCUUUGGAGCCCUCAGCGUCGACUGCAGAGCCCCCGGAGCCAGGUCUUUGCCCCGUUAAGAAGUGUAAAUCGACGCAAAAACCUUCCUGGUGCACACAAAGAGACCAAUCUUGCGCAUGUGUCUAAUCCCUCGGCUGUUGGAGACACUGGAGCAAUCAGGCGAGGCACCCGACGCCGACGUCUUCUCCCUAAAACGCCUCGAGCAGCGAAGUGGAGUGAUUUAUGCGCGCGUUUUAGUUAACUAUGACUAAAAGUGCCUCGUGGCUUUUCAGCUUCUAGAGGAAAUGGAGACCAUAGCUGUUACCAGUGGAUCCAAACGGUUUAUUGAAAUGUUCAACUCUUAAAAACAAAACAAUGAAGAACUUUGUCCCCUUCAUGCAGGAACGUGUGACAUUUAAAUGUAAACUAAUCUCUAUUGUAAAGAAAAUUUAAUCUAAACAUUAUAUCCUUUUGAUAAGAUUCAAGGGGAGAAAGGGAGUAUUAAAUGUUGGCUGAAGACAAUGUAUGGAUUUUUGCUAUAGGGAAGGAUAUUUAAUACCUAGUAAGUAAUGAUGUUUCUCAUUAAGAAAAAAAUGCAUAAAAACUGAACAUUUUCUGAGUAACUGUUAUUUAUAAAGAGUCGCCAUUUAAUAAAAUUUCGAAGGCUCCUGUUUAUUUCUGCUUAUUUUAGUAAAAAGUAUUUUUUCCUUGUUUUCAGUAAAUAUUGACUAGCCCUACUAGGAACACAAUAAUAUUAAUAGAGAAAGGAAACUAUCUGAUUGAGGGGAGAAAAAUAUGAAAACCUGAAGGAUAAAGAUGUCCCUUACCCUACCAAAUGGGCACCCCAAGAGUGAUAUUUGUCCCAUUAUUAGCAAGAUUCUCCUUCUAGAGCCCAUAUAACCCAAUGGAAAGACUAGCUUGUCUUAACAGCACACCAUUCCUAUCCAUUCAUUUAUGCAGCAAACAUUUACUUGGAGGAUCAGCCUUGCAGAGGGCCAGAUGCUGGGACAGAUACGUCCAAUCAUAUGGCAAGAUCCCUUAGGCUGACACUCUGGAAUGAGUUCAAACUCUGAUCUUUCCAGAAAACUUGCAAAAAAAAAAAAAAAAUCCCUAAUAAUUGGGUGUGAUUCCAUUUCUCCAAACCCCAUGCAACAUGUUGUCUAGUCCACUCAUUUGUUCCUAUUUCAUAUACUACAUAGCUAUUGUUUCUUUCUUUAUGUGAUGACUGUUUCAGAUUUGAAGGUACUUUAAAUACAUUAUUUCAUUCAGUCCUCUUUGCAACCCCAUUUAACAGAUGAUGAAACUGAGGCUAAGAGAUGUUCAGUUUCACAGCCACCAUUUCGAUAUAGGUUUUGUGUCCACAAUAAUUCCCUGACCACUAACCGCCACCACCGUUUAUGUAAUAAUUCGUUUCCACAAAUUAUUGUAAACUGUUCGAAGUCAGGGGUUAAUUUUGUCUCACCAACAAUCUGAGGGGACACCCAAGGAUAAGGUAAAGUUGGUAAUUCUAGCUUUUAAAGAUUAUGGAAUGAUUAUGCCUUUGUUCAUAUGCUAAUGUACACCUUUGUAACUCUUAAUAUGAUGGAUAAAUAUUAUCCUGUAUUUACUUUUGAUUCAUAGAUUGCUGGUAUAGCAAUUUGUGUUUGUGUGUGUGUAUAACAAAAUAACCCCUCUUUCUUUUUAUACUGUUCACUGCUCGAAAACACUAGCUUACAUAAUCUAAAUUUGGCAUAUAAAUUUUCCUAGAUCUAGAUUUGUUUGAUUGUAUCUUCAUAACAUUAUUUAUUUUAGUUACCUAAGCCUCAAACCAGUAAGGUGACUUAGACAUGUGAGUACUUCUCUUUUUUUCAAGAAUAAUUCACCAGGUGCUGUGUAUAUCCUACUAAUCCCAUCAAACAAAAUAAACACAAUGUCUGUCUCAUUAA
rnacentral:lncRNA from 1 species